rnacentral:lncRNA from 1 species
GGGAGGUGGUGGGGUCAACAUCCCUGGGGGUGUUCAGGAACUGUGGAGAUGUGGCACUGAGGGACGUGGGCAGUGGGCACAGUGGGAUUGGCUGGGGUUGGGCUUGGGGAUCUCAGAGCUCUUUUCCAAUCUCAAUGAUUUUGUGAUUCUAUGAAUGCAGACACCUCAUAAUGAAGGCUCUCUCUGGUCCUGUGGCUCUGUAUCAUAUUCAUGUGCUUGUUGUCCCCCGUGCCAACCAAAAACACUUAAUUUCGUGUUUCCUUAGAUGAUGAUGAUGAUGAGUCCACAAAGCAGGAAUCCGAUGAGGCGGAUACGACAGACAGCGAGGUGGCUUCUCCCUAUGAACAUGAUGUCCUGCAAGAAGCCCAGUCAGAAGGGAAAUAUUUUUGCACCAAAGACAGAGCUCAUGCACUGCAGAAGAAGAGGAGAAGAGGACAGGAUUCCUGGACAAAAGGCUCCAAGAAGGCAAUGAGAGGAAAAAAGAAAGUCAAAGUGGAGCAGUCCUCACUGGGGAUGACAGAGGAAGCAGA